GCCAGGAUAGCUCAGUUGGUAGAGCAACUGAUUCGUAAUCAGUAGGUCGAGAGUUCAAUUCUCUUUCCUGGCUCCA
rnacentral:tRNA from 7 species